rnacentral:rRNA from 1 species
CCUACGGGAGGCAGCAGUGGGGAAUAUUGCACAAUGGGCGAAAGCCUGAUGCAGCGACGCCGCGUGAGGGACGAAGGCCUUCGGGUUGUAAACCUCUUUCAGCAGGGAAGAAGCGAAAGUGACGGUACCUGCAGAAGAAGCGCCGGCUAACUACGUGCCAGCAGCCGCGGUAAUACGUAGGGCGCAAGCGUUAUCCGGAAUUAUUGGGCGUAAAGAGCUCGUAGGCGGUUUGUCGCGUCUGCUGUGAAAGCCCGGGGCUCAACCCCGGGUCUGCAGUGGGUACGGGCAGACUAGAGUGCAGUAGGGGAGACUGGAAUUCCUGGUGUAGCGGUGAAAUGCGCAGAUAUCAGGAGGAACACCGAUGGCGAAGGCAGGUCUCUGGGCUGUAACUGACGCUGAGGAGCGAAAGCAUGGGGAGCGAACAGGAUUAGAUACCCUGGUAGUCCAUGCCGUAAACGUUGGGCACUAGGUGUGGGGGACAUUCCACGUUUUCCGCGCCGUAGCUAACGCAUUAAGUGCCCCGCCUGGGGAGUACGGCCGCAAGGCUAAAACUCAAAUGAAUUGACGG